rnacentral:rRNA from 1 species
UACGACUACAUAUCAGGCAUAUCAAUAAGCGGAGGAAAAGAAACUAACUAGGAUUCCCUCAGUAACGGCGAGUGAAGCGGGAAGAGCUCAAAUUUGAAAUCUUCAAGGUUCUACCUUGACGAAUUGUAGUUUAAAGAAGUGUUUUCUGUUGGAGUUUUGGUAAAAGUUCUUUGGAAUAGGACAUCAUAGAGGGUGAGAAUCUCGUAUUUGACCGUUAUUUCCAGCUUUGUGAUACACUUUCAAAGAGUCGGAUUGUUUGGGAAUGCAGUCCAAAAUGGGCGGUAAAUUUCAUCUAAAGCUAAAUAUUGGCGAGAGACCGAUAGCGAACAAGUACCGUGAGGGAAAGAUGAAAAGAACUUUGAAAAGAGAGUUAAACAGUACGUGAAAUUGUCAAAAGGGAAGCGUUUGACACCAGUGUUGUUUUCUCGAAAAUCAAUUAAAAAAGGCUGGAUUUUGUGUUGUAUUGACCUUUAAUCAGCUUGCUUCACUCUUUUCCAUUGUCUUUUUUUAAUGCACUUUUCGUUUAACAAGUCAACAUCAGUUUCUUUUGUUGUAAAAGGGUCAUUGGAAGGUGGCUUUCUCUUCGGAGAAAGUGUUUAUAGCCUUUGGCCUCUGCAAUCGGAGAGAUUGAGGUCUGCAGCGUAGAUCCUUCGGGGUUAGAUACAUUUGUGCUAAGUUAUAGCCUUUUCAUAGACAACUUGUUGACUAUGAUCAGUCAUGUAGCUUACUCGCUUAUGCUAUUUUACCUACGCUUAGGAUGUUGAGCGCAUGUCUCUCUCU